rnacentral:rRNA from 1 species
GAUGAACGCUAGCGACAGGCCUAACACAUGCAAGUCGAGGGGCAGCACAUGAGUAGCAAUACGAUGGUGGCGACCGGCGCACGGGUGAGUAACACGUAUGCAACCUACCUUCUACCAGGGGGAUAACCCGUUGAAAGACGGACUAAUACCCUAUAAUACAGGGGCUCCGCAUGGAGAUAUUUGUUAAAGAUUCAUCAGUAGAAGAUGGGCAUGCGCAUGAUUAGCUAGUUGGCGGGGUAACGGCCCACCAAGGCAUCGAUCAUUAGGGGUUCUGAGAGGAAGGUCCCCCACACUGGUACUGAGACACGGACCAGACUCCUACGGGAGGCAGCAGUGAGGAAUAUUGGUCAAUGGGCGAGAGCCUGAACCAGCCAAGUCGCGUGAAGGAAGACUGUCCUAUGGAUUGUAAACUUCUUUGUACGGGAAUAAAGUGGGCUACGUGUAGCCUUUUGUAUGUACCGUACGAAUAAGGAUCGGCUAACUCCGUGCCAGCA